UACGGAGGGUGCGAGCGUUGUCCGGAAUCACUGGGCGUAAAGGGCGCGUAGGUGGCCCGCGCAAGCGUGCGGUGAAAGCCCGGGGCUCAACCCCGGGUCGGCCGUGCGGACUGCGGGGCUGGAGCACUGUAGGGGCGGGUGGAAUUCCGGGUGUAGCGGUGGAAUGCGUAGAUAUCGGGAGGAACACCAGUGGCGAAGGCGGUUGCCUGGAGCUUUGCUGACGCUGAUGCGCGAAAGCGUGGGGAGCGAUCCGG
rnacentral:rRNA from 1 species